rnacentral:tRNA from 1 species
GAGGGAUAGCGAAGUGGCUAAACGCGACGGACUGUAAAUCCGUUCCCGUUCGGGUACGAAGGUUCGAAUCCUUCUCCCUCC